AGUAUAACUUUUUCCUAAUGCAGAAUGUCCUAGUAGAAAUAAAAAAAUACAGGAUAUCAAUAAUUCAUAGCAUUCCCAAGGAAGGAUACAAGUAAUCGUAUUAAGUAAAAUGAUAAAAUAAUACAAGUCUUAAUGUUGAUGCCCAACAUCAAGCCAUUUUUAAGAAUCACAAGCAGUGCAGCAGUAUUAUUGCUGAUGCUUUAAAGCUGAGCCAUUUUUUCUUAGAUAUUUAUAGGAUGGCUUUGUAGGUAAAAUACAGGAGUAAAUACCUGUGCUAGGUUGUUUUAUUGUGCAGUUAUUCAUUCUUCCUUUCCUGUAAGAAAAUUAUACAUUGUUGCUCAUUGACAUCAGGCUUAAGGGGCCCCUUAUGGACAGAAUAUAUAUUCUCUGCUCUAUUGAUGUUUGACCUGACCACGUGAUGUGCUUUAGUCAAUGGAAUAAAUGUAGGCAUGAUGUAUACUGUUUUUGAGAAGAAACUUUAAAAGGUACUAAUGAAAUUUCUUUGCCUGUUUGUUUCUGCUUUCUGUAUGGGUCCUGGAAUAAAAAUAUAUGGAUGAGGAUUGCAGCUGACUUCAGCCUACGUGCAGUUUGAAUAUUAAAUUCCAUACCGCUUCAGGAGGCACACGUCAUCUUCUGUGGCCUGACUCCUACCAUAUCAGUGUACUCUCAACCAGAAAACUGUUACAGAAGAUGUCCGAGCAUAUGGAAAAGAAACUUGAACAUGGAACAAGGAGACACGGGUUCAGCCUCUGGGCAAAUAAUUGAACUGGCACAACAAAG